GAUGAACGCUGGCGGCGUGCCUAAUACAUGCAAGUCGAGCGAACAGACGAGGAGCUUGCUCCUUUGACGUUAGCGGCGGACGGGUGAGUAACACGUAGGUAACCUACCUAUAAGACUGGGAUAACUUCGGGAAACCGGAGCUAAUACCGGAUAAUAUUUCGAACCGCAUGGUUCGAUAGUGAAAGAUGGCUUUGCUAUCACUUAUAGAUGUACCUGCGCCGUAUUAGCUAGUUGGUAAGGUAACGGCUUACCAAGGCAACGAUACGUAGCCGACCUGAGAGGGUGAUCGGCCACACUGGAACUGAGACACGGUCCAGACUCCUACGGGAGGCAGCAGUAGGGAAUCUUCCGCAAUGGGCGAAAGCCUGACGGAGCAACGCCGCGUGAGUGAUGAAGGUCUUCGGAUCGUAAAACUCUGUUAUUAGGGAAGAACAAACGUGUAAGUAACUGUGCACGUCUUGACGGUACCUAAUCAGAAAGCCACGGCUAACUACGUG
rnacentral:rRNA from 1 species